GUUGUCUAGCAAGGGUGAGAAUGCCCUUUUGAAGGCCACGGAUUUUGGGUUGUCGGUGUUCAUCGAAGAAAAGGUGUAUCGGAAUAUAGUCGGGAGCGCAUACUAUGUUGCUCCUAAAGUAUUAAAGCGUAGAUACGGAAAGGAGAUUGAUAUUUGGAGCGCAGGAAUAAUAUUGUAUAUCUUACUUAGUGGCGUGCCUCCAUUUUGGGCAGAGACAGAAAAGGGGAUAUUUGAUGCUAUUUUGGAAGAGAAAUUGAUUGUGAAAGUCAGCCAGGCCAUCUAUUUCAGACAGUGCCAAGGACCUAGUCCGCAGGAUUAACGCAGGAUCCGGAAAAGCAGAUUACUUCUACUCAAGUCCUAGAGCAUCCAUGGAUAAGAGAGGGCGGAAGUGCACCAGACAAGCCACUAGACAGUGCAGUCCUUUCGUGAAUGAAGCAAUUUAGAAGAAUGAAAACAAAGCAACUUGCCUUCAAGGUCAUUGCUGAAAAUCUUUCCAGCGAAGAAAUCCAGGGUCUGAAGCAAAUGUUUGCAAACAUCACACCGACAACAGUGACACGAUCACAUAUGAGGAACUUAAGACUGGAUUAGCUCGACUUGGAUCGGAGCUCACAGAGG